rnacentral:rRNA from 1 species
GAUGAACGCUGGCGGCGUGCCUAAUACAUGCAAGUCGAGCGAACGGACGAGAAUCUUGCUUUUCUGAUGUUAGCGGCGGACGGGUGAGUAACACGUGGAUAACCUACCUAUAAGACUGGGAUAACUUCGGGAAACCGGAGCUAAUACCGGAUAAUAUUUUGAACCGCAUGGUUCAAAAGUGAAAGACGGUCUUGCUGUCACUUAUAGAUGGAUCCGCGCUGCAUUAGCUAGUUGGUAAGGUAACGGCUUACCAAGGCAACGAUGCAUAGCCGACCUGAGAGGGUGAUCGGCCACACUGGAACUGAGACACGGUCCAGACUCCUACGGGAGGCAGCAGUAGGGAAUCUUCCGCAAUGGGCGAAAGCCUGACGGAGCAACGCCGCGUGAGUGAUGAAGAUCUUCGGAUCGUAAAACUCUGUUAUUAGGGAAGAACAUAUGUGUAAGUAACUGUGCACAUCUUGACGGUACCUAAUCAGAAAGCCACGGCUAACUACGUG